rnacentral:rRNA from 1 species
UGGGGAAUUUUGGACAAUGGGGGAAACCCUGAUCCAGCCAUCCCGCGUGUGCGAUGAAGACCUUCGGGUUGUAAAGCACUUUUGGCAGGAAAGAAACGUCAUGGGUUAAUACCCCGUGAAACUGACGGUACCUGCAGAAUAAGCACCGGCUAACUACGUGCCAGCAGCCGCGGUAAUACGUAGGGUGCAAGCGUUAAUCGGAAUUACUGGGCGUAAAGCGUGCGCAGGCGGUUCGGAAAGAAAGAUGUGAAAUCCCAGAGCUCAACUUUGGAACUGCAUUUUUAACUACCGGGCUAGAGUGUGUCAGAGGGAGGUGGAAUUCCGCGUGUAGCAGUGAAAUGCGUAGAUAUGCGGAGGAACACCGAUGGCGAAGGCAGCCUCCUGGGAUAACACUGACGCUCAUGCACGAAAGCGUGGGGAGCAAACAGG